rnacentral:rRNA from 2 species
GGCCCAGAUCGUUUACCGUGAAAAAAUUAGAGUGUUCAAAGCAGGCAGAUUCAAUUUUCUGCCACCGAAUACAUUAGCAUGGGAUAAUGGAAUAGGACCCUGUCCUCCUAUUUUCAGUUGGUUUUGGCAGCGCGAGGACUAGGGUAAUGAUUAAUAGGGAUAGUUGGGGGCAUUAAUAUUUAAUUGUCAGAGGUGAAAUUCUUGGAUUUAUGAAAGAUUAACUUCUGCGAAAGCAUCUGCCAAGGAUGUUUUCAUUAAUCAAGAACGAAAGUUAGGGGAUCGAAGACGAUCAGAUACCGUCGUAGUCUUAACCAUAAACGAUGCCGACCAGCGAUUAGGAGACGUUGAAUACAAAACACCACCAUCGGCGCGGUCGUCCUUGGCGUUCGUGUUCACGCACGAGCGCGAGGGCGGUUUAGCCCGGUGGCACCGGUGAAUGACUCCCCUAGCAGCUUGUGAGA